UGGGAAGCUUAUUGGGAGGAGCGACCCAAAUUCUGAGCAAAUCGUCGUCCGCUUUCUUCUUCCUCAAUCCAAAUUCGAACCUCCCUCUUUACAAACCCUCCAAAUCCCCUCGCCUCCUCCGCCCCUUCGGGAUCAUGGCCGCCGCCGACGCGUUCGUCAAGAGCAGCAUCCACCCAAUUGGCGUCGCCGUCAUCACCCUCGGUCGCCCCCCGAGCUCUCAACGCCAUGAACCUAGAUAUGGAUGUGAAAUACAAGAGCUAUCUAGAUGAAGGGGAAGCUGACACAAAUGUGAAGUGUGUUCUUGUUGAUAGCCGCUCGGGUCGUGCCUUUUGUGGCGGUAUUCACUGCUGAGUAUUCUCUAAUAUGCAAACUCUCUGAGUUCAAGAAGCCCAUAUAAGCUUCAUGGAUGGCAUAACAGUGGGCUUUGGUAUUGGCCUAUCAGGUCACGGUCGCUACCGGAUCAUUACAGAGAGGACUGUUCUUGCUAUGCCAGAGAAUGUAAUUUGUUUGUUCCCAGAUGUUGGGUUUUCACGUAUAGAGGCAAAGAAUCCAGGAGGAGGAUCUGUAGGUAUAUCCCCACAAACAGAUGGAACUUUAACAAUGCUGCUUAUGAAACAUAACAGAUGGAGAGGUGGAGAGCUUCAAGUUGAUUCCGUGAUGCAUGUUGCAAGCUCCAUACGGGGACACAAUGUUUCAAGCCAAAUUGCUUUUUUGUCAUUGACUUCCUUUCCCGACACAGGUACAUUAGCCCCGAGUCCUUCGGAUACCUGGAUCUACUACAAAGUUUGAGAAGUGGUGAUUGUUCCUAACUGUACAUUUUUCUUCUUUGGUACUGCCUGAUUGUGUUUUUUUUACUCCUGUUUCUUCCCCGGAUUUACAUAAAGCUAAUGUUACAAACUAGGCAACUAAAGCGGCUAUCUCCAAAUGCAGCUGUUUCUUCUUCUCUGUAUCGCUCAUUAAUGAAAAAUAACUAAUCAAGCUUAAAAUUUGCAUCGAAUUUCUUCUUAUCUUCCUCUUUUUUGUAUCUCUCAAUUUUUCGUCCCCUUUUGUCAAUCAACUUCGAUAUUUGUUCUUUUCUACAUUCUGUCCUCGACAAUUUCUUGAGGUGCCUCCAAAUACUGAAGACGGUUGUGAAAAGGUAACUGCUGACUGCUGUAUGUUCUCCCCGUAGAAAAACACAUUAUCGCAAUCGUUGUCAACCGCCUCUGUCUGCUUGGAACAAUGUGACACAGUCCCCUCCCCUGAGCAC
rnacentral:sRNA from 1 species